AACGAACGCUGGCGGCAUGCCUAACACAUGCAAGUCGAACGAGACCUUCGGGUCUAGUGGCGCACGGGUGCGUAACGCGUGGGAACCUGCCCUUAGGUUCGGAAUAACUCCCCAAGGGGUGCUAAUACCGGAUAAUGUCUUCGGACCAAAGAUUUAUCGCCUUUGGAUGGGCCCGCGUUGGAUUAGCUAGUUGGUAGGGUAAAAGCCUACCAAGGCGACGAUCCAUAGCUGGUCUGAGAGGAUGAUCAGCCACACUGGGACUGAGACACGGCCCAGACUCCUACGGGAGGCAGCAGUGGGGAAUAUUGGACAAUGGGCGAAAGCCUGAUCCAGCAAUGCCGCGUGAGUGAUGAAGGCCUUAGGGUUGUAAAGCUCUUUUACCCGGGAUGAUAAUGACAGUACCGGGAGAAUAAGCUCCGGCUAACUCCGUG
rnacentral:rRNA from 1 species